GAUGAAGAACGCAGCGAAAUGCGAUAAGUAAUGUGAAUUGCAGAAUUCAGUGAAUCAUCGAAUCUUUGAACGCACAUUGCGCCCGCCAGUAUUCUGGCGGGCAUGUCUGUCUGAGCGUCAUUUCAACCCUCAUGCCCCUAGGGCGUGGUGUUGGGGAUCGGCCAAAGCCCGCGAGGGACGGCCGGCCCCUAAAUCUAGUGGCGGACCCGUCGUGGCCUCCUCUGCGAAGUAGUGAUAUUCCGCAUCGGAGAGCGAUGAGCCCCUGCCGUUAAACCCCCAACUUUCCAAGGUUGACCUCAGAUCAGGUAGGAAUACCCGCUGAACUUAAGCAUAUCAAUAAGCGGAGGA
rnacentral:misc_RNA from 1 species